rnacentral:rRNA from 1 species
CGGGGGGAGCAAGCGUUGUUCGGAUUUACUGGGCGUAAAGGGCGCGUAGGCGGCCACCGCAAGUCGACUGUGAAAUCUCCGGGCUUAACUCGGAAAGGUCAGCCGAUACUGCGGGGCUAGAGUGCAGAAGGGGCAACUGGAAUUCUCGGUGUAGCGGUGAAAUGCGUAGAUAUCGAGAGGAACACCUGCGGCGAAGGCGGGUUGCUGGGCUGACACUGACGCUGAGGCGCGAAAGCUAGGGGAGCGAACGGGAUUAGAUACCCCGGUAGUCCUAGCCUUAAACGAUGAAUGCUUGGUGUCUGGGGUUUUAUAGUCCCCGGGUGCCGUCGCUAACGCUUUAAGCAUUCCGCCUGGGGAGUACGGUCGCAAGACUG